CCCAGUGCCUCUGAGUGUGGGCAAAGAGCCAGAGCUGCGUUUCCAGCAGGUUCCGCCCCCGGGCCUGGGGGAGACCCUGGAGGCUUCGCAGCCCCUUGGCGUCUCCUAGGUGGUGGGGCUGAGUCCCAAGGCGGGGGAGGCAGGGCCUGGGCGGCUUCCCCGGAAGCGCGGGUGGUCGGUUGGCGGCACAGUCCCUCGCUUUUUCUGGGCUGUUCCGUGGUUUGUUCCUCAUUUCCCCUGCCGGUAUUUCCCUGGAGGAUCCGUGGAUUCAGGGGAUCCCGUGACGCCACGUCAGAGAGGCUGGGGUUGGUUUGUUCCUGGUCAGGCUUGUUUCGGGGGAGAAAUCCUGACCCAAAUUCGGAGGAACAGGAGCCGCAUUUAGUUGGGAAGUGAAGACGCCAAAUGUUGACUCUCAGGACCUUCUAGAAGAAGGAGCCGGGACCCACUCUCCGAGUCCUGCUGGAACCAGAGCCAGAGGUGAAAACACAAUGUGCCCUCCACAUCGCACAUGCUUUUAUGAACUUUCAGUGGGGAUUUUUUCCCAACAAUGUUGUAGUCGUUGGAAACAACUGGAAACCUGACAGGUUUUACUAAAAGCAGAUUCACGGCGUCCCUCCAAGACUGCUCAUGGUCAAAGAACAUACCAAGGCCACUUCUCAGUAUGGAGAUUCACAGACCUGCCUGAGUUUUACAUUCACCACACAUACUUUCAAGUCUCCUUUCUCUCCCUGUAAGAAAGAAGACAGAUCUUCUGAUGCGCAGGCAA